rnacentral:rRNA from 1 species
UCGAACGAGUUCUCGUUGAUGAUCGGUGCUUGCACCGAGAUUCAACAUGGAACGAGUGGCGGACGGGUGAGUAACACGUGGGUAACCUGCCCUUAAGUGGGGGAUAACAUUUGGAAACAGAUGCUAAUACCGCAUAGAUCCAAGAGCCGCAUGGUUCUUGGCUGAAAGAUGGCGUAAGCUAUCGCUUUUGGAUGGACCCGCGGCGUAUUAGCUAGUUGGUGAGGUAAUGGCUCACCAAGGCGAUGAUACGUAGCCGAACUGAGAGGUUGAUCGGCCACAUUGGGACUGAGACACGGCCCAAACUCCUACGGGAGGCAGCAGUAGGGAAUCUUCCACAAUGGACGCAAGUCUGAUGGAGCAACGCCGCGUGAGUGAAGAAGGCUUUCGGGUCGUAAAACUCUGUUGUUGGAGAAGAAUGGUCGGCAGAGUAACUGUUGCCGGCGUGACGGUAUCCAACCAGAAAGCCACGGCUAACUACGUGCCAGCAGCCGCGGUAAUACGUAGGUGGCAAGCGUUAUCCGGAUUUAUUGGGCGUAAAGCGAGCGCAGGCGGUUUUUUAAGUCUGAUGUGAAAGCCCUCGGCUUAACCGAGGAAGCGCAUCGGAAACUGGGAAACUUGAGUGCAGAAGAGGACAGUGGAACUCCAUGUGUAGCGGUGAAAUGCGUAGAUAUAUGGAAGAACACCAGUGGCGAAGGCGGCUGUCUGGUCUGUAACUGACGCUGAGGCUCGAAAGCAUGGGUAGCGAACAGGAUUAGAUACCCUGGUAGUCCAUGCCGUAAACGAUGAAUGCUAGGUGUUGGAGGGUUUCCGCCCUUCAGUGCCGCAGCUAACGCAU